GAGUUUGAUCCUGGCUCAGAUUGAACGCUGGCGGCAGGCCUAACACAUGCAAGUCGAGCGGUAGAGAGAAGCUUGCUUCUCUUGAGAGCGGCGGACGGGUGAGUAAUGCCUAGGAAUCUGCCUGGUAGUGGGGGAUAACGCUCGGAAACGGACGCUAAUACCGCAUACGUCCUACGGGAGAAAGCAGGGGACCUUCGGGCCUUGCGCUAUCAGAUGAGCCUAGGUCGGAUUAGCUAGUUGGUGAGGUAAUGGCUCACCAAGGCGACGAUCCGUAACUGGUCUGAGAGGAUGAUCAGUCACACUGGAACUGAGACACGGUCCAGACUCCUACGGGAGGCAGCAGUGGGGAAUAUUGGACAAUGGGCGAAAGCCUGAUCCAGCCAUGCCGCGUGUGUGAAGAAGGUCUUCGGAUUGUAAAGCACUUUAAGUUGGGAGAAGGGCAGUAAAUUAAUACUUUGCUGUUUUGACGUUACCGUACAGAAUAAGCACCGGCUAACUCUGUGCCAGCCGCCG
rnacentral:rRNA from 1 species